rnacentral:rRNA from 1 species
UGGGGAAUAUUGCACAAUGGGGGAAACCCUGAUGCAGCGACGCCGCGUGAAGGAAGAAGUAUCUCGGUAUGUAAACUUCUAUCAGCAGGGAAGAAAGUGACGGUACCUGACUAAGAAGCCCCGGCUAACUACGUGCC